CCUACGAGCGGCAGCAGUGAGGAAUAUUGGUCAAUGGACGAGAGUCUGAACCAGCCAAGUAGCGUGAAGGAUGACUGCCCUAUGGGUUUUAAACUUCUUUUAUAAAGGAAUAAAACGAGGCACGUGUGCCUUUUUGCAUGUACUUUAUGAAUAAGGAUCGGCUAACUCCGUGCCAGCAGCCGCGGUAAUACGGAGGAUCCGAGCGUUAUCCGGAUUUAUUGGGUUUAAAUGGCACGUAGAUGGGUUGUUAAGUCAGUUGUGAAAGUUUGCGGCUCAACCGUAAAAUUGCAAUUGAUACUGGCAGUCUUGAGUACAGUUGAGGUAGGCGGAAUUCGUGGUGUAGCGGUGAAAUGCGUAGAUAGCACGAAGAACCCCGAUUGCGAAGGCAGCUUACUAGACUGUGACUGACAUUGAUGCUCGAAAGUGUGGGUAUCAAACAGGAUUAGAUACCCGGGUAGUC
rnacentral:rRNA from 1 species